rnacentral:rRNA from 1 species
AAGGAAUAUUGGGCAAUGGACGCAAGUCUGACCCAGCCAUGCCGCGUGCAGGAUGAAGGCCCUAUGGGUUGUAAACUGCUUUUGUACGGGAAGAAACUUCCGCACGUGUGCGGAAUUGACGGUACCGUGCGAAUAAGCACCGGCUAACUCCGUGCCAGCAGCCGCGGUAAUACGGAGGGUGCAAGCGUUAUCCGGAUUCAUUGGGUUUAAAGGGUGCGCAGGCGGAAUGAUAAGUCAGUGGUGAAAUCCUACAGCUCAACUGUAGAACUGCCAUUGAUACUGUUGUUCUUGAGUAUAGUUGAAGUGGGUGGAAUGUAUCAUGUAGCGGUGAAAUGCAUAGAUAUGAUACAGAACUCCGAUAGCGAAGGCAACUCACUAAACUAUAACUGACGCUCAUGCACGAAAGCGUGGGGAGCAAAC